GAAUCUGAGAGAGGGGUUAUUAUUAAAGUUAAAAAAUAAAAAAAAAAGAUUGGAAAAAUGCCAGUCAUCAAAGUUUUUGGAUCUGACCAAAUGAGAGGACAGGACAUGUCCCUGCCUCGUGUUAGUGAGACAAGAGGUGCACUGCUCCCGGCCCCCGGCGCUCAAAACGGGAGGAAAGCCGCGUCCCCUCAGAGAGAGAGGCCCCACCAGCAGGACUAUAUUAAAGAAAGACUGAGCCGAGCCAGAAGCCGUGUAAAAGGCUUGAAUGCACGAACAUGGCAAGAGGACGCCUAACUCUCGGCACAUUGGAUGUACGAGUCUCACGGGAAUCAGUUGUGUAUUACUGCAAAAAAAGAAGAACCUUUAAUCCAACCCAAGCAAAUCCUCACCUGCAUGGAGAAGCCGGUUCUCCUCUUGGGCCUCCUCCAGCUGUUUCUUCAGCAGCCGCUGCUGCCCCUGCAGCUCGGCUUUCUCCCCUUUCAAGCUGGCGUAGUCACUCAUGGUGUCCAGUCUUUCCCUCAAAAGCUCCUUCUGUUGCGUCAGCAGAGAAAUCUGCUGCUGUGCCGUGUCCAGUUCGACCUGGAUGAGACGACAAGGAGGAGACACAGGAAGAGCAUGCAACAUUAAGCCGGAGAUCUGGUUCAUCUUUUACAUUGUGUCCCAUCUAAUUACUAGUAGGUGAUGGUCACUUCCCACGGAAUGAUUGAAAGUUUGGUCUAAAUACAAGCUUUCUGUUAUGCAGCAUUUAGUGGUUCACGCGACUGUGUCCUGUUACCUGCAGCCGUCUCAGCUCUGAAGACGCUCUGCAGUGCUCCUCUAAUUUGCCAUCAAUUAUAGCCGACUCCUUCUGGAUACGAACAGUUUCCACUGAGAAAACAAAUGAAUGGAGGGAAUCAAACUGGAACGAGGCCAAUGAUAAUCUUGCAAUGAUCGAAAAUCUCACCUUUGAUUCUGUUCUCAUUCUCCGUUAGUUUUUCUGUUCUCUUGAGAAAUUUAUCCUUCAACUCCAGCUGAUACCUAAUUGUAUGCAUACAUUUGAUAAUAUGAAUAAUAAUGUGCUUUGUAAAACCAUGGAAAACCAUGCAGCCUUUUCCUAUUACAGAAGGAUACCGAUGAAUAAACCAAAGCAGCGGCCAUGCAGACAGGUCCUCUAUUGCAAGUCACUCCGUAGUCGUAGCAGCUGAUAGACGGCCAACCGGUGGUUUAAUAACAAUUGAUGAGGAAACUAACACGGCAACUGACUUUUUAAGACUUUGGGAUCUAAAUCUAAAAAAAAAAUCUGUGCAAUUUUGAUCGAUUAAAAAAAAAAAAGCAAUGGCCUGUGAGACUGACAGGUACCAUUCAAACAGUUGGUCCAAAACUAUUUUUACUGUGGAUUUAAAAAAAACAAUGACCGUUCUAGGAUACCGUUGUUCCUUUAAACCUUCAAAACAGUGACAUCCUCUGGUCACAAAAUGGCAAUAACCCGAACACCUCGACAGAUAAAGUGAACUUAGAGAAGAGAGACUCCACGUGUGCUACCAGCUGAAUGGGUCUAAUUGGUGGUGACGAUGUGAGCGAACCUGCUAUGACUAAUACCUGGAAAGUUCAUUCCUCAGCCUUUGGUCGUGUGUUUCCUCCAUGGUCUUCACUGCUAGUUCUCUGCUCCUCAGCAGCUCCUCAGCGGUCUUGACCUUGUCCUCGUGGAUUUGACAUGUCCUAUCAACAUACAAAUACAUUUCCAUUCUCUGUGCACGAGUAUAGUCACAACAAAGUGGCAUCGCCUUACUCACAUGAAUGGUAUAAAAGGACUUACUUUUCAAACGCCUCCACUCUCAUCCUAAGCUCAUUCUCUCUGUUUCGCACAGUUUCAAUUUCUUUCAGGACUGAUUGUCUCUGCAUAUACACGUUUUUUUCUUCAAUCUAAAAAGAAGAGGAAAAUCAAAAGCAUUAAAUGAGCACUUUAAAAUGAUACAACAUAUAUUGUGAUGUGGAGAGUCUUUUAUAAAUUAACUUUAUAGAAAUCCAGAUUCGCUCUGGUUUAUCUUGAGAGAAAAAAACAAAAUACAGCAUGGAAUUAUCAGGAAUCUACCUCUUGUUGUUUUUGUAAUCGAUCAAUGGCAUUUUUCUCGCGCUCCAUCAACGCCUUUGCCUUCAUCUCGUAAGUCCUUUCCAAGUCUUGCUUCAGCUUAUCAAAUUCUUUAUGAAACUGUUUUUUUUCUUCCAUCCUCACUGUUGCAAUUUCAACAUCUUUAAAAUGUUGCAUCUGGAGAAACAAAACACACUAUUGAGGCCAGCGGGAAUAUACAACAUGAUCACAUAUCAGAGACUCAUAAAACAUAAAGCACUUCGUAUCAUACAUUAACAUCGUAAAACAUUUACAACCGUUUACAACAGUCUUUGUUGCAGAUAUGAGUAUAAUGCUAUUGUAGAAAAAUGAAUACUUUCAUGGUAAGCAACCUAAGAUGCAUUUGUGUCUAAGGCUGAGUGAAUGUAGCUGUGCAGAUGUGCUUCAUACAGUUUUGGAUUCAUUAACGUUGGAGUAAAAUGCACAAACCUU